CUGGGGGGAGCAGGUGGAGGGGCUCCAGCCCAGGCAGCAGCCAGGGAUCCAGAUUAGAAAAGACCAGAGCUAGGGGGUGACUCAGGCAGGGUUGGCGCAAAGAGAAGGGUGGAAAAUCACUCCAUGAUGGUAAUGGUCAAUGUGCUGCGUAGAGCCUGGCAUCCGGCCGGGGAUGCUGGGGGGCCUGCAGGACCUGCUGCCACAAUAGCAGGCGCCAGGUAAAAAUUCAAGACGCAGAACGUGGGCGUAGACGUUGUGGGAUGGGAGCAGGAUUACAGGACGAGUCCCCUGCAGGGCUCUACAGCUGAGCGAGGUGGUAAAGAGCCAUGUUAAUCCCUUGAAAAUAGCUGGAUGUAUUAGGAAAAGCCUUGGGAAAUCUACCAAGAGCUGGAAGGUUACAGGGUGUUGCUGUGCUGGUGUCGUGUAUUGCUAAAGAACAGCCUGAAAAAGGCCUUAAUGCUAAAAUUCUAGGGACAAUAAACGCAGGCUGCCAGCCACCCAAAUGUAGGAUGCAAACAAGUAGGGGAAUAUAUGGGGUCCCCUUGGAAAUGACUGGAAAUGGAGCAGGUAGAGGUGGGGACCCAGGGCAAGUCAUUAUGUGAAUAAUUAGUGGGAGGGAGGUGAGAGCAAAUGUCCACAGCUGUGCAAAUUGCAUUUAGAAGGGCUUUAUCUGCCAGGGUUAUGCUAGGAUAGGUGAUGUUUUGGAUGAAACCAUAUAUUCUGUUCCCCUUUGAGCUGUUAUAAGUGCUGAAAGUCUGGUAACAUGGCAAAUGCAAAGCUGGUGGGAAGAUGCGGAAUGAGCAGCAAGUCAGAGUGGUGAAUUCAAUUAAAAGGGAGGGACGUGGCCGGCUGCCUGUCAGCUUUAAACACUCGUUAAGACACAAGUUGAGCUUGGAGACGGCUAAGAGGAGUAUUCGUAACAGCGCUUUCGCUUGGGGACCCGUAAAUCUCUCCAGCGGCUGCCCUCUGACUUGCUUCGGCGCAAGGUGAAACAUUUCCAGCUUAUGCAGCCUCUCCUUGAGCGUCAAUCCUGACUCCGCAGCUAAUGGCUUCGACUACCCACCGCUGGUGCUUUUCCUUCUCCGAUGUCUCCUUCUCUAAGGUGCAACAGUUGAUGACACCAGCAUCAAAGCAGCAGAGGAGAGUGCUCAUGCUAACACGCAAGGAACUGCUAGGGAUACGCUCAUUAGCACGAGAGCGCACGCACCCAGGCCUAACCCCCAGCAGUGCGGGGAAAAAAAGAUUUAAAACAAGCCUGUUUGGAAAU